UUUGUUGGGGAAACAUGCUCUUGUUAGAUGGCUUUCUACGACAACUGGCCAGAGUGGGACUCCAAGGUGGUGCUCGCUUUGCUAAUGAUCAUUGUGGUAGUCGGAAAUGUGUGGGAGCUGAUGCUGACCAAGAGACAGCAAUUGGUGUGCCUGAAUUCCGUCAUCGUUCCCGAUGAGCUUCGCGGGAUCAUUCCACCGGAUAUAUUCCACAGGGCCCGCAUCUACGAACUGCACAAGAUGGAGCUCAUGAGCUGGAAGAUUUUGGUAGACAUGUUUCUAAGCCUGGUCGAGCUCUUCUUUGGAUUCUAUCCGUUCCUCUGGGGUCUAGCUGCAACUACGCUGGCAAAAGCCACCCAUAAGGAGAUCUGGAUAAGCCCGGUAUUCGUAUUCUAUAUGACAAUCUACAGCUGUGUGCGAUACCUGCCCGUGCUGGCCUACGACAAGUGCAUCCUGCAGCUGCGCUACGGGGUCCAGGGGCAGUUCUCCUGGUGCCUCUACUGCUGCGUUGCCAUUCCAGCCAUACUUCUGACGCAGAUUUUACUGGCCCCCGUUGCGCUGCUCAUUGUGUUUACCGUGCAAGCGGCCGGCUACUGGUUCUUCCUCUACUUCUGGGGCGCCUGGGCAAUAUUCACGAUUUUGCUGGUCUUCUUGUUCCCCUACUGCUGCAUCCCCUGCAUUGGGAGGCAACGGAGGCUGUCCGAGGGCACGCAGCUGUAUACCGAUGUGAAGCGCGUCUGCGACGUGGCCGGAUUCCCCGUGAAGCGCGUCUUCAUCAUCCGCACCAAGAGCAUGCAGUACAGCAAUGCCUACUUCUACGGCAGCUGCUGCUUGAAGCGGAUCGUCCUCUUCGACACGCUGCUGCUCAACAAAGGCCUUGAUCCCAGUCAGCUGAAGCCCUACGAGGUGGGCAGGGGACUCACAACUCAGCAGGUGACUGGCGUGGUGUGCCACGAGUUGGGCCACUGGAAGUACGGGCACUUCUGCAAGACGACGCUGAUCAUGAAGCUGCACUUCCUCCUGACCAUGCUGCUCUUCGGCGUGCUCUUCCACUGUCCCCAGCUGUACAAGGGUGUGGGCUUCGCAGCAGGAAUUACUCCCAUCAUCGUCGGCUUCAUCAUCGUCCUGCGCUUCGCUCUGACCCCAUAUUUGACGCUUGCCAACUUCCUGAUGCUGUGGAUGAUGCGGCACAACGAGUUUGCUGCCGAUCGCUAUGCCCAUCGUCUGGGCUAUUCCGCGCAGCUGAGCUCGGCCCUCAUCAAGAUCUACGCCGAUCACAUGACCUUCCCGGUCUUCGAUGAUUGCUAUUCCAGGUGGCAUCACACGCAUCCCACGAUCCUCCAGCGACUGGCCUAUCAGCGUUUCUUGGACUACAAAGCCGCUACCAAGACUGAGGACUCUGUCAAGCCCUUUGCCAAGAUUAGGAAAUCAGACUCAGCGUGAAGUAGUCCCUGAAAUUUGCUUCGCAUUAUCUGUUACACUAUUUUGAGAAUUAACAUAAAAUUGUCCGUACGACCCGAACACGAACACGAACACAAAUGGGCAAUGGCUAAAUUUGGACCAAUUACAAAAUUGGCGGUCAACAUCGACAAGGGGGAAACACGCAUCAGUUAUGGAAAUGCCUCUACACGUGUGAUCUAUGCGAAUCCCUCGGGGCUUGCCUUCCCUGGGGGAAUGAUGGAUCCUAGUCUAAUCAGCGAUCCCUAUUUGCAAGACAAUCGAUAUCGCCCGGAGUCCUUCCUACAACGACACUUCUCCCUUCUGGCUAAGCGGUUACCCAAUUUAAUGGGUAUUACUGCCUCGGAUUCCAGUGAAGUAGAAGACCCAGUUAACAAGGAUGUCGUCUGGUAUGCCUGGCACUCGGAGGAAGUUGAAAGGGUCGAGCCACAGCGGGUCGAGUUCAUAGAAUGGAAAGCUCCAGAGACAGGUACUGUAAGGAUCUUCAAUCGGUUUUGGCAUUUGCAGAACUGCUUUGCCAAGAAACGUCUCAGCCAUAAAUCGGAGUCCCCCAAGUGCUAUUGUCUGAAAAUAAAGAAGAUCACGGACCACAUUAAAGAUCUCAUUGCCCCGGAACUGCCGGAGUAUCAAUCAGUUGACGACGCAUCGAAGCCUCAUGUUUUUGACACCAAAAUCAAGGAGGUGAACGACUUGCUCAAGCAACUGCAUGAUCUCCUGGAGCUCCAGGAGCAAUGCAAUCGAAACCAGCUACUCCGUACAAGAGGGGACGAAGACACCCAAUAAAAAUAAAUCAUUUCAUUUGGUGUGCUGACCCGAUGAUGUCUGCGUAAUUGUAUUUAAUUUGUUAAAACAUAGUAUCUGUCAUACAUACAUAGUACAUCCAUAUAGAUAUUCGA